CACAGAGGUGGGGGCCGUGUUUAGGCUGAGCCUGGGCAGCAGCUUCACCACAAAUGUUUACAGAAAAUCCAAGUGUUACGUGGGCAGCUGAACUGGAUGCCCUCUGCGGUUUCUCCCAGCCCUCUAGGGCCGGGCUCUGUGCCCACAAAUGGGAUGCCAGGGUGAAGGAGAAGGAAGAGCUAAAAAUGACUCCUCCACUGCUGGCCUGGAAGCCUGGAAGAUGCUGCUGCUGGUGUAAGCGAAGAACUUAGGAUGAAAUUGAUUGGUGGGAAUGGCAGGAGAAGAUUUUUUUGUGAUACAGUGUCAGAAAAGCAAGGAGUUUGGGUCAGACCAGUUACGUCUUUGAAGCUUUCCACGUGUCUGUGUCUUCCUUGGAGCACCUCCCAGUGUUGUCAGGAGGAUUUAGAGAAAACAGCCUGCCCAGUGCUUUUGCUUGACUAGCAGAGACAGCUGGAUAAAGGUUUUAUGGGAGGCGAUGUCGGCAUUCGUAGGGCCUGUGCCUUUUCUGUGACUCAGUGAUGGGCCAGUGGAAACGGCCGUUUCCACAGUUGGACAGAACGAGGUUUGUGUCCUGGUGUUGCUCACAGACGUCUCAACCAGACGGAGUCCGGACUCCACCACGUGGCAAUAACGAGAAGGUAGCUCUCGGGGCGGUGGUGGGUUGAGAUUAGAUACAUGAAGAGGCUGUCCCAAUGUGAGCUGGGUUAUAAACCCAAGAGAGGGGGCAUGGGAGCCGAGGAGGGGACCGCAUCAGAGGCCACCAGGCUGAGUAGGGCGGGCUUUUCACAGGGGCCUGGGUCACGGCUGUGAUAAGCCCCCCGUUGUGGAAUGCAGAAGGCCAU
rnacentral:lncRNA from 10 species